UAGGGAAUUUUGGGCAAUGGGCGAAAGCCUGACCCAGCAACGCCGCGUGUGGGAUGAAGGCCCUCGGGUCGUAAACCACUGUCAGGAGGAAAGAAAAAGUCGGCCGGAUAAUACUCGGUCGACCUGACGGUACCUCCAAAGGAAGCACCGGCUAACUCCGUGCCAGCAGCCGCGGUAAUACGGAGGGUGCAAGCGUUGUUCGGAAUUACUGGGCGUAAAGCGCGUGUAGGUGGUCGAGUAAGUCGAAUGUGAAAGCCCCGGGCUCAACCCCGGGAAGUGCAUCCUAAACUGCUCGACUAGAGUCCCGGAGAGGAAGGCAGAAUUCCCAAUGUAGGGGUGAAACCCGUAGAUAUUGGGAGGAAUACCGGUGGCGAAGGCGGCCUUCUGGACGGUGACUGACACUCAGACGCGAAAGCGUGGGGAGCAAACAGGAUUAGAUACCCUCGUAGUCCCUGAGCGGGCUGGCAAGGCGCAU
rnacentral:rRNA from 1 species